AAUCCCCCGUGCCCAUAGCGGCGUGGAACCACCCGUUCCCAUUCCGAACACGGAAGUGAAACGCGCCAGCGCCGAUGGUACUGGCGGACGACCGCUGGGAGAGUAGGUCGGUGCGGGGGA
rnacentral:rRNA from 1 species